GCGACAUCCGCUCAGUUGAUGAGCAAGCCUUACCAAGGUUGAGGUCACGAGUUCGAACCUCGUGUGUCGCUCCA
rnacentral:tRNA from 1 species